ACAAUUCUGGGAUACUUAAUAUGUUUUCUAACAAAAUUAAAAAAACGUUAAAGUAAAAAUGUUAAAAUAAAAUGUAUAAUAUAUAAUACAAUUAUUAUUUGUAGCAUAUUUUAGUACUAUGUAGGUCUACUGUAGCUACGUAUUACUGUAUUAACUACUAUUAUUUCAUACUAAUAUUACUACUACAUUUAGGCUACUAUUAGUAGUAGUAGUAUGUGUAAGAAAAAUAAUAUUGCACGUUCUUUUUAUUGUACUUUACAAAUCUCAAAGUGCUACCACAGACAACAACAAUAACACAAUAACAGUGUAGCAAUUACAAAUAAGUUCUGUAAUAAUUACAAAUAAGAUCUUUGGAAUAAAAUGCAGCCUUGAGUUUAGUUUCAUCAAAAUAUCAAGCAAUCUGCGUAGAAUUGACAAUAUGAGCUCUGUUGGGUUGUCUAAAUAAUUUGCGUGUGACUUGUGUAUUUUUUCCCAGAUGGAUAUUACAAUUCAAAAAGGGUGGUCUCUCUGACAGAAAUAAUACAGUGCACCAAAUGCUGCAGUCAUUUCCACUGUCCAUUUUGUGAUGCCUCAGUUUUCCAACCAACACGGUUGGCAAAAGUGCAAAUGCAUCUGCAGGCACAUUUCAAUAGAUCGGUCCAGCAUGAAGGUAAUAUUUGCAAGUGUACAUCUUAUUAUAGUGAAAAAUUGUAAGACAAACUUAAAGUGCAAUCUUAUACUGCUGUUUUUAUACCUCCUUCCAGAGGUAAGCCCAAAACAUGUUUGAACAUGAGCAUGUUUAUGUUCUGCAGUGUGUGCAUGUUUUAUUUUAUUAAUUGGUUUAUUUGUACAGGCCAUCAUUCAUGGCCUUUGCGAGCUGCAGGGCUUGUCUUGGCAGGAGGCUGAAGAGGUGUUCCUCCAGAGCCCCAUUUAUCAGUCAAGUGAAGUUGAGGAAUUUGACACAAGAAUUGCUCGAGAAAUGAAAAAUCUCCCCAACAAGAAUGUAAAGCAUUUAUUUUAUUUCAUGUUAUUUAAUAUGUAAUAUAUACAUUAUUAACCCAAUUAUUUUUUUCACCAUUUUUCUCUGCAUUGUUUACAGCUCGAUGACUUGUAGGACCUCAUGAAAAAGAAUACAAAAAUAAAGUUUGGUGUGAGAAAAUGACUCCGAGCACUAUAAUUUAUUAUGCUGAAACAAAAAGCAGCCAGGCCACAACAUCUACAAUGGAAACUUCUAUUAAAGUGGCUCCGUAAUGUAAGAGUCUAGAGACAGUGGAAGGAGCAGAAGAACUAGAAGAUCAGAGAUCAGGCAGAGCUCUAAUGGUGCCCCUUAGGGUAUUGAUUUAUCUAUAAUUAUCUAUAAUAUCUACUUAAUGUUCUGAUGUAGUUAUAAUUGGCCAUUGUUCUGUUUUAUAAAACUAUUCAAUAUAUUCUACUGUUCAAUAUUUUGGGGUCAGAAAGUUUUUUUAUUUUUAUUUUUUAAGAAAUUAUUUGUAUUAUCAAGGGAACAUUAAAUUGAUAAAAAGCGACAGUAAAAACUUUUACAUUGUUGCACAAAAAUCCUAUUUUUAACAAAAUGCUGCUCUUUUAAAAGCUCUAUUGUGCUGCCCUUAGAAAUGCUAUUUUUGUGUAUUAAUUUUAUUUGUAUAUAUUGUGAAUUAUUUCCUAUGGGACUUUUAUUGUGAAAUCGCCAUCUCACUGCGCAGAAGCGCAUUGCCCUGCGAUUGGCUGGUGGUUGUGCUAAUUAAAAGCGACCACAGCGACUGUAAAAACUAUUUAAACUGUUCGGGCACUGUUAGACCCCGGGAGAAGGCGAUUAGUCACCAGAAGAGACGGACGGCAGGGCGUAAGUGUUUUAAUACUUAUUCUUAGCUCUGUUGUUUAAAUUAAUUACUUGCUGCUAGGAAAGAAUAGUUCGUUUCCUACCUAUUUCUAUUCUGCUUUUUCGUUGUGGUUUAUAUUUUUGAUUGCACUUACUGGUCAUUAUAAUAACUGCCCUUUAGCUGAAACUCCUUUCCUGCACUUAAGUGCGAAGUGUUAGUUUCGAUUUGAGCCAUUGCCCUGCAAUUGGCUGGUGGUUGUGCUAAUUAAAAGCGACCACAGCGACUGUAAAAACUAUUUAAACUGUUCGGGCACUGUUAGACCCCGGGAGAAGGCGAUUAGUCACCAGAAGAGACAGACGGCAGUGCGUAAGUGUUUUAAUACUUAUUCUUAGCUCUGUUGUUUAAAUUAAUUACUUGCUGCUAGGAAAGAAUAGUUCGUUUCCUACCUAUUUCUAUUCUGCUUUUUCGUUGUGGUUUAUAUUUUUGAUUGCACUUACUGGUCAUUAUAAUAACUGCCCUUUAGCUGAAACUCCUUUCCUGCACUUAAGUGCGAAGUGUUAGUUUCGAUUUGAGCCAUUGCCCUGCGAUUGGCUGGUGGUUGUGCUAAUUAAAAGCGACCACAGCUUUUUUUUCACUCUAGACUGUGUAUUUGUUUGAGGUGUGUGCGCUGACGCGGAAGCGUCUGCAGAAGCGUUCAGCCGUCGUGUUCAGCCUCCUCGUGUGAAGACCGAGGAGUGUAAAGACCUGCGACUUUUUCCUGUGUGACUUGAACCGAGCAACGACACCGAGCUACACAC